GGAAAAUUAGUUUAUGUAAAACUUUUAUUUGUCAAAUAAAAAUCACCCUUUAAGGUAUUUUCAU
rnacentral:tRNA from 1 species